rnacentral:rRNA from 1 species
UACGUAGGGGGCAAGCGUUGUCCGGAAUCAUUGGGCGUAAAGCGCGUGUAGGCGGUCCGGUAAGUCCGCUGUGAAAGUCGGGGGCUCAACCCUCGGAUGCCGGUGGAUACUGUCGGGCUUGAGUACGGAAGAGGCGAGUGAAAUUCCUGGUGUAGCGGUGAAAUGCGCAGAUAUCAGGAGGAACACCAAUUGCGAAGGCAGCUCGCUGGGACGUUACUGACGCUGAGACGCGAAAGCGUGGGGAGCAAACAGG